rnacentral:rRNA from 1 species
GACGUAGGGCGCGAGCGUUGUCCGGAUUUAUUGGGCGUAAAGAGCUCGUAGGCGGCUUGUCGCGUCGACCGUGAAAACUUGGGGCUCAACCCCAAGCCUGCGGUCGAUACGGGCAGGCUCGAGUUCGGUAGGGGAGACUGGAAUUCCUGGUGUAGCGGUGAAAUGCGCAGAUAUCAGGAGGAACACCGGUGGCGAAGGCGGGCUCUGGGCCGUACUGACUGCGUGAGGAGCGAAAGCGUGGGGAGCGAACAGG